AACGUACGCUGGCGGCACGCCUAACACAUGCAAGUCGAACGAAGUAGCAAUACUUAGUGGCAGACGGGUGAGUAACAUGUAGGUAUCUGCCCUUUGGCCUGGAAUAACACGAGGAAACUUGUGCUAAUACCGGAUAAGUCUUUACGGAGAAAGCUUUAUGUACCAUUGGAUGAGCCUGCACUUGAUUAGUUUGUUGGUGGGGUAAUGGCCUACCAAGACUGUGAUCAAUAGCUGAUUUGAGAGGAUGAUCAGCCACAUUGGGACUGAGACACGGCCCAAACUCCUACGGGAGGCAGCAGUGGGGAAUCUUGCACAAUGGAGGAAACUCUGAUGCAGCGAUGCCGCGUGAGUGAAGAAGGCCCUUGGGUUGUAAAGCUCUUUCGUCGGGGAAGAAAAUGACUGUACCCGAAUAAGAAGGUCCGGCUAACUUCGUGCCAGCAGCCGCGGUAAUACGAAGGGACCUAGCGUAGUUCGGAAUUACUGGGCUUAAAGAGUUCGUAGGUGGUUGAAAAAGUUAGUGGUGAAAUCCCAGAGCUUAACUCUGGAACUGCCAUUAAAACUUUUCAGCUAGAGUAUGAUAGAGGAAAGCAGAAUUUCUAGUGUAGAGGUGAAAUUCGUAGAUAUUAGAAAGAAUACCAAUUGCGAAGGCAGCUUUCUGGAUCAUUACUGACACUGAGGAACGAAAGCAUGGGUAGCGAAGAGGAUUAGAUACCCUCGUAGUCCAUGCCGUAAACGAUGUGUGUUAGACGUUGGAAAUUUAUUUUCAGUGUCGCAGGGAAACCGAUAAACACACCGCCUGGGGAGUACGACCGCAAGGUUAAAACUCAAAUGAAUUGACGGGGACCCGCACAAGUAGUGGAGCAUGUGGUUUAAUUCGAAGAUACGCGCAGAACCUUACCAACACUUGACAUGUUCGUCGCGACUCUAAGAGAUUAGAGUUUUCGGUUCGGCCGGACGAAACACAGGUGCUGCAUGGCUGUCGUCAGCUCGUGUCGUGAGAUGUUGGGUUAAGUCCCGCAACGAGCGCAACCCUCACUUUUAGUUGCCAUCAUUAAGUUGGGCACUCUAAAAGAACUGCCAGUGAUAAGCUGGAGGAAGGUGGGGAUGACGUCAAGUCCUCAUGGCCCUUACGUGUUGGGCUACACACGUGCUACAAUGGUAUCUACAACAGGAAGCAAGACUGCGAAGUUAAGCAAAUCCCUAAAAGAUACCUCAGUUCGGAUUGCACUCUGCAACUCGAGUGCAUGAAGCUGGAAUUACUAGUAAUCGUGGAUCAGCGUGCCACGGUGAAUGCGUUCCCGGGUCU
rnacentral:rRNA from 1 species